CACAGCGGACAGAGGAGAGACAGGUGAGAUGGAGGGGGGGACGGGGGAGAGAUGGGAGAGAGAGGUGAGACAUGGUGUAAUUUGUGUGUAGCUGCUGAUACAUGAUGAUGAACUAAAUGCUGCAGUUACACCCAGAGGACACCAGAGGGAGCCACCACACUACUGCUGCUUAUACUGGUAGUACUGGUUUCACACCUGCAGUUAUACUGGUGGUACUGAUUUUAUUAGGUUGUAUACUGGUAGUACUGGUUUUAUUAGGUGGUAUACUGGUAGUACUGGUUUUAUUAGGUGGUAUACUGGUAGUACUGGUUUUAUUAGGUUGUAUACUGGUAGUACUGGUUUUAUUAGGUGUUAUACUGGUG